AGCGAACGCUGGCGGCAGGCUUAACACAUGCAAGUCGAGCGGGCACUUUCGGGUGUCAGCGGCGGACGGGUGAGUAACGCGUGGGAACGUGCCCUCUGGUUCGGAAUAACUCAGGGAAACUUGAGCUAAUACCGGAUACGCCCUUUUGGGGAAAGGCUUUCUGCCGGAGGAUUGGCCCGCGUCUGAUUAGCUAGUUGGUGAGGUAACGGCACACCAAGGCGACGAUCAGUAGAUGGUCUGAGAGGAUGAUCAGCCACACUGGGACUGAGACACGGCACAGACUCCUACGGGAGGCAGCAGUGGGGAAUAUUGGACAAUGGGCGCAAGCAUGAUCCAGCCAUGCCGCGUGAGUGAUGAAGGCCUUAGGGUUGUAAAGCUCUUUUAUCCGGGACGAUAAUGACGGUACCGGAGGAAUAAGCCACGGCUAACUUCGUG
rnacentral:rRNA from 1 species